GGCUGCGCGCUGCCUUGGCCGGGCCCGGGGCGGGCGCCCGCUCCGCCGGAGCCGCGGGGAGCCGCGGCUUGGCCCGGCGGCAGGGUCGGGGCACCGUGCUACAGCGUGGUGUGACGGGAGCCACCCGGGCUUUCAGGAGUUCACAAUCCUUUACGCUGACAGUACAAUGGAAGGAAGCACUCCUGGUGAGAUCGCGCACCUCCGACACUAGGAGCCAAGCGUGCACCCACGCGCAAAUUGAUGGCGGAGGUGGCUCUAUGCCAAUUUUCCCUGUGUACUGCACCAAUACUUUGGUGGUGGAAAUUGGGUGUGUGAUUUUUGCGGAGGCUGCCCAGCUAUUUGCACCUAUGUAACCUGAGACCCAGGAGGAGGGAUGUGACCAGGUGACACCUUUUGCCCAGGAAGCGAGACAAAGAGAAGGAGGAGGAGCAACAAGGGGGUGUCGGAGGUCUGGUCACUGGAAGCUGGUAGUCUGCCUGGGGGGACUGGAAGAGAGUGAAUCCAGAGCGUCUGGCCCAGGAUUCCCAAGAUGGAUUUGGCUGAAAGUCACUGAUUCCUGGAAUAGCAAGCUCUGUUCUAUGCUGUGUUCCUAUUGACAAAUAAACCUUCUGUUUUACUGGC